rnacentral:lncRNA from 1 species
CCAGGACAAAGAGUUAGCUGGUAAGUUUGGACUGUUUCUACAGGUUAAUUUCAUGGAGUAGCCAUUAAGUUUAGAGAAGCCCUUUUUGGGGGGUAUGGGACAGGGGCGCUGUCUGUCCUAUCUAUUCACUAACACUAAAGUCCUUCUCCUAGGUGGAAUUAUUAAAUAUUUCAGACUUUGACUCCUUCAGAAACAAGCAUCUGGCUCCUUAUGCUUCAAGUUCCUUGAUGGUAUCUACACACUGAUCCAAUAAUCACUUACCAAUCAGAUGACAUGCCUAUUCUCUCAACAUGGAGAGUUGAAUUAAACAGGGGCAAGUUGAAAGAAAGAUCUUUUAAAUUAAAAUCAACUUCCUGAUAACUACUCUUCAGCAUUCCAAACUUCCUCAGGCUGAAACUGGCAUGUUCUCUGACCAGCACAGCCUAGCUAAAUCUACAUAUUUAUACCUUCUGGCUUUUGUUUCUAUAAAUUAUAACUGCUUCUGUAAGACUAAUGAAGAAAUAGUCUAGCUGCUUCUCCCCAGUUUUAUCAAAUGUGUUAAAUUUAUUUUUUUCUUUUUACAUCAUUUACUUAUUUCUUAUGUGGGUAGGCAGCUGAAUCUGGCCAGCUGGGAUCCAGGCCAUUUCCCUGGCUUGGUUGCUGGUAACAAGAGUACUGGAAUUUAUAUUUAGCAAUUGUUGUUUCACUAUUUUAACUUACACAGGACACAGAUGUUUUCCUUAACAUAUACAUUUAUAAAUGUUUAUCCCAUUUAUAUCCAACUAUCCAUUUGAACAGCUAUUUUUAGAUUGACCAUGAAACCCAAGAUUUCAAGAGCUUUCAUUUAGAUUCAUCACUUGCCAGUUUUUAAAAAGUUAGACUUUGAUAUAAUUAUUAUAGCCAUAAGCAGUUAUUAAUAUUAAAUCUGUACUUCCAAAGGCCUGACUUAUUUGAAAGAAUGUCUUUGCCUUUGAAAGAAUGUCUUUAUAUCUCAAGACACAGAACUGAGUCUCAACACUAAGAAGAGCAAAGGGCAAGUGAAAGCAAAGGUUUCAAACCGGCUUUUUGUUGUUGUUUACAUUGUGGAUGUUUUAAUUCUUUAUCUCUGAGAGGGUUUUUUUUUUUUUUGUACUGGAGAUUAAAUCCAGGGAUAAUUUACCAUUGAGAUAUAUCCCCAGCCUCCCUCCCCAAUUUUCUGUUCAUUUUAUGAUAGGGUCUCACAACUUAGUUUUUCACUCUGGCCUCAAACUUUCCUGUUUUGGCCUCCUGAGUUGCUAAGAUUACACUUUUGCACCUGGCAAAAUAAGUCUUUUUUAAAGUGAAGACUUAAUAUCUCUUCCCAAAUUAAGAGCAAAUCAAUCAAUAGAAGGAGGCAUUCUUUCAAAGGCAAUUUUAUUUUGCAAAGGUUUUGUAAAAUCAUAUGUUGGAGAACUAUUACUAGCUAAUAAAUCCUUCUGACCUAAUUUGUUUUCUAAUCAGAUAUAGAUUUUUUUUAAUAUUUAUUUUUUAGUUUUAGGUGGUCACAAUAUCUUUUAUUCUAUUUUUAUAUGGUGUUGAGAAUCAAACCCAGUGCCUCAUGCAUGCUAGGCGAGCAAGCUACCACUUGAGCCACAUCUCCAGCCCCUAGAUAUAGGUUUUUCCAAGAGUGGGGCAAAAAGUGUUUUCUAUACCCAUCCACCAGUAAAAGUAACUUUUUGAGCUUUCCAAAGCUUUGUAUUCCUAUUUUAACUUAUCACAGGUUUUAGUCAUUUUAGAAAGCACUUGCUUUAAAUUUUAAGACAUUUUUCAUUGUUUAAGAAUUUAGAAAUGGCAAAUAAGAAAUUUAUACAUAUUUUGUACUUCUGUUUUAUUACCCAAGGAUUCUGAAUUAGCACACAAUAAUAUAAACUUGGGAAUAUUAAGUUUUCCCCCCUUUUAAAUUAUUUGUAUGUUGAGGCACCAUAAUUUUCAAACAUAAAGCCAGCUGAGUGCCAGAUAGUUUUAUUUCAAACAGUUUUUAAUUCCUUGAACUUUGGAUUUCAUUUUAGUGGAACUGCCCAUUCUCCAAAAAUUUCAACUAUCUGAGAUAACUGGGAGAGAUGUGUUUUGGACUAUAAGGGCAAGAUUCCAAUGGCCAGGAGAAAGUCAAAAAUCAAAAAGGCAAAUUUAUGUAAUGAAGUGGCAAGAGAAAAGACCAGAUGCAAGCAAACAGGUUUUGACAAGGGUUCUGAAACAAAGGGCAUCCAAAUUAAAUAGCUCAUAGUUGACAGCCUUCCAAAACUCCAACUAUGCAAAUCCAAGCAGGUGAUCUUAAUCAGGUGUAGUCUGCUUCAUCAUUAUUUUAGAAUUGGUCAGGUGAGGACUUGUCCCCAAUAAGAAAAUUGCUGUUGCAUAGUAGGGUGGCUUAGACUCAUUACAAGAUGUUUGUCAAUCAGACCUCUUGUUGCUGGAAUCCAAGGUGACUCAGAGCAAAGGAGACAGAUACAAAAUUGAGGCAGAAUGUCAGGCACGAUGGCACACACCUGUAAUCCCAGUGAUUUGGGAAGCUGAGGCAGGAGGACAAGAAAUUAGAGGUCAGUUUAGCAAAUUAGCAAGACCCUCAGCAGUUUAGCAAGACCUCGAAUUAAAGCAAAAUAUAAAUAAAAAACUGGGAAUGUAGUUCAGUGGUAAUGCACCCCUUGAUUCAAUCCCCAGUACACACACACACACACACACAUACACACAAACAAUAGAGAUGGAGAUGCCAUAUCUUUAAUACUGUUUCUAGUCACCUAUUAGGCAAAAGUGAAGUUUGAGUCCUCAUUGAAGAUCCAGAGCCAGGAAGAUGGUCAGUUAGGCUAGGCCAGGCAGACCCUGCACAACUAUACCACGAUGAGAAAAAACUUGCUAACAAGAAACCGAGAGCAAAGCCCACAGAGGUACUGGCUGUAGUUCUACAGGGCCUGCCAGUCUUCUGGGGAGGGCCAAGAUGGGAUAAGGAUGGUGAUGAUUUUUUUUUAAAUCAAGAUUUGUAAGUUUUUUCUUCUAGGGACUGUGUAAGGAGCUCUGUGAUACCUAUUGUUUUAGUCAGUUGUUUUUCCUUUCUGUGACUAAAAAACCUGAGAAGAACAACUGUAGAGAAGGAAAAGUUUAUUUGAGGGUCAUGGUUUUGGUCUUAGUCCAUAGACAACUAGUUCCAUUCCUUGGGGCUUAAGAAUGAAGCUGAAUAUCAAUGUGGAAGAGUGUGGUGGAGGGAAGCAGCUCACAGGAUGAUCAGGAAACCGAGAGAGAGAGAGAGAGAGAGAGAGAGAGAGAGAGAGAGAGAGAGAGAGAGAGAGAGUCCACUCAUCAAACGCAAACUAUAUACCCUCAAGGGAUGCCCCUAGGGACCCAUCUCCUCCAGCCACACCCUACCAGCCAGUAGUUACACUCAUUUAAGACUAUCAUAACCCAAUCAUAUAGCCUCUAAACCUCCUUGUAUUGUCUCACACUUGAGCUUUGGGGGACACCUCACAUCCAAGCCAUACCACCCAUGAAGGUGAAGAGAGAGGGAAGGGAGAGACAAGGCUGCUGUGGGAGAGGUGGGAAUAUGGAAAGACUGGAGGGUCAUGGUUAGCCAGAAGCUGGGGGAUGAGGAGAGAGGAGGAUAGACACUAGAGACAUUUACCUACUUAACACUUACUUAAGGAAAAAAGAGUAAAAAAAAAGUGUGUUAAGGGGUAGAUUUUAGAUUGCUAGGAAAAGGGAAAGAGAAUGAGACUUAUGUGGGUUAGCAGUGUCUCUCUCACCCACACCUCUCACCAAAAAAAAAAAAAAAAAAAAGGCACCAAAGCAAAAUCUUUAAUUAGGCUAUUUUGUGUCAGUGUUUGCUGCCUUCUAAUACAUACAGAGGCAAAUAGAGACCUGUAUUUAAUUAUUUUAUUUUAUUUUGCAGUCCUGGGGAUUGAAGCCAGAGGUGCUCUACCUCUGACCGACAUCCCUGACCCUUUUUUAUUUUGAGUUGGGGUCUUGCUAAGUUGCCCACACUGGUCUUGAACUUGCAAUCCUCCUGCCUCAGCCUCCUGCAUCACUGGGAUUACAGGCAUGCAGCACUGUAUCCAGCUAACUGGAGGCCUUGGGAAGGACCAAAAUCACAAGUCACAGAGAACAUCCUCAUAGUAAAAUACCACACGUGUCUGUAAACUGCACAUGUGACACCAAGCUACGCAUUCAAUGUGUCUCAAAAAUCUUGGGGGAUAGUGGGCAGCUAUCUAGGGCAAGGCAGUGAAACAAAUAUAGGUGAUAUAUAAGUAGAUAGAUGGAUAGGACCAUUACCUUUAAAUAAUUUAGUAUAAAAAAUUAAAUAAAAAUAAAAUAAGUUUGCUUUUCAUUAUAUCUACUCUGUCAAUUGUAGUGAUAAAAUACAUGUCAAUAUCAGUGAUAAAAUACUUCUAGGUAAAAUGUUUUGAUGGUCUGAGUUCUAAAAAAUUGUAGACUUACCAUUCAGUUAUUUUGUCUAUCUCAACAUCUAUAUCUAUUAGUAUUUAAGAAUUAUUAUUUAUUCUUAGUGUUUAGUAUUUAUUUAUUAUUUAUUCUUGAAUAAAUAUUAUACUUCUCAUAGAAGUUAGUUUGGAGGACUCUCCUUAUUGACUUGGCCCUAAACACAGACCCACUUACAGUUUGGAACAAUUUGAGUUCACUUUGUGUACCACUCAUAGCCCAAACUAAUAUAUAUAUACCUGUGAUUAAUCAGUGGAUUCAAAAUAAAUGAUUGAUUGUGAAGAUGGAGCAUGAGCUCACUCCCACCCACGUCCUGUGUGGGAGGUGGAAUGGGGUUCCUCUGCAUGGAGUAGCUGGUGGGGAAAAGACCACCAGGCAUGGAAGUAAUUUUUUUUUUAUAUGGGGGCAAGAUGUCUCUUUGACCUAACAGGCAGAGCUUCCACACUGGGAAGAGAGAUCCAGAACCCGCAUUUUCCUUUAUUUAUACAAAGGAUCUUCAGAAGUGUUAGAGUCUGUAAACAAGUCUGGAUGGUGCCUGGCAUAAGGAUUUUGAUGGAUGUUCCUUUGCCUAAUAAGAUAGGAGGUGGGCUGUCCAAGCCUAAUGGGUAACGCCCAAGUCCUGAGCUGCAAGAACUGUCCCAUUGGUAGAGUGAGGGCAGAGAUCUGACGCCUUGGGCAGUCUACACAUGGGAAUGCUGGGAUCCUUCCCGAGGGGAGACCUAAGUCCCCAUGGCUCAGUACUGAGAAAAUAUCCACUCAAGUAGUGUCACGGGUGGUGUACCACAGCUGGAUGUGAUUGUGCAGUCCUAUUAUCCUUGCUACUUAGGGGCCUAAGGCAGGAGGAAAGUUUGAGGCGAGUCUCAGCAACUUAGCAAUAGCCUGCCCCACCCCCCCCCAAAUAAAAACUAAAAUAAAAGGGUUGGGGAUGUAGGGUUUUGUCUACAUAUGUAGACUGGUGAGUGUGUUAGUAUGUGCAUGUGUGUAUGCAUUUGUGUGUUUGUGUGUGUGUGUGUAUGUGUAACUAUAGUCAUCUCAGUGCUGCUAAACACUAUGUUUUGGUUGCCAGUCUCCAACCUCCCUCUGUCUAAUCUCCCUAUAGAGGUUAUGGUGGUUGGCUAUUCUCAGGAUCUUGAAGUUGAUUUGUUUCCACUAUCUGAUCAAUAGAUACUGUUUGAAAUGUACCCUAUUUAAUAGGCUUAUUAAAAUAUCAUAUCUCUUUUGGAUUAAUCUGUUUAAAAAAUAUAUUUUACAGGUAAAUUUUCAAAAGCAAGUGAAUUUCCAGUAACUUUUAGAGAUCUUGAGACAAUUUAUAGAUUUUCCAAAAAUUUAGGACAGGCCUGGGGAAAAAUGGCUUGGGGCAGGCCAGGUCUGGGAGGAAUAAAGGCUUUGGGGAGUGAAAGUAUGAACACAAAUUUUUCCAAAAUAAAGUUAUAAUCUCCUUUUCCUUCCUUUUGUCUCCUUUCUACCAAUCUUUGAUUUCCUUCUAUACUACUCAACUCCUCUGCAAAUACUUGAAUUUGAACCAUUAGCCAUGCGCAAAAAUUUAACAGGGAUGCCCUUUAUACUUUGAAUAUAAUGCUUAUUCCUCCACCACUGAUAUUUAUUUUAAAACUGAUAUUUUUUCCCUUUUCUCUUCCCCUUCCCCCCCUUUUUUAUCAUGGGGAGAGCAAGAUUAACCUUCUUCUUAUCCUAGGUUAUCGUCUUUUGUCACAGAAGAGCAAGAAGCCGAAGCUCCAAACCUUGGUUCUUGUGUUCUGAAAAAAAUUUAAAGCCAGACACUGAAAGUCAUGCUAGAGAAUUUUAUUAUGAGUGAAGGCGGACUGGAAGUGAAGUAGGGUGGAUGCAGACCAAGGCUCAAGCAGAGAGCACUCUCAAGGGAGAGAGCGGGUCCUCUCUGAGCAGAGAAUGACAAAGAAAAUAGUGCUGUUUCCAAAUUUAUUACUGUUUGGUAUUUGCCUUGAGAACUGGGGUCCACCUUCUGCACUCUUUGCUAAUCAGGUGUUCAAUUCCUUCUUCAUGUUGGGCAGUGGAGUUUUUUUUUUUUUUUUAACCUUAGUUGGUCCUCUCUGGAACUGUAAUGGUGAGCCAUCCUAUUCAGAGGCUUCAUCUACAGGUCAAUCCUAUGUUAAUGUGGGCAUUGGGGUGGCAACUGGUCAGAGGUUUCUGAACUGCCUUGAGUCACUAAAGAAUCCCUGCUUCUGAGAUAGAAGGAGACACUUGGGGCCAUAAAUUUUGGUUUUAUCUUGACCUUUAUGGACUCUGUCGAGAGUUAGUCCCAUAAAUCCUUCUUUCUUUAUGUAUUUCCCCCAUUUAGCUCCUUCAUUUGUUUAUCCUCAAGGUUUGUGUACUGAUAUUUCUCUACAGGUUAUCUGCUAUAAGUUAUUUACUCAUUUGCCUUGGUAGUAACUUAAAGGAAACUUUAAGAGUAUCUUAAAGUAAACCUGUGUCCUUGCUAUACAUUCCACUGCUUAUUACUAACUACUACUUAACUGCUACUUAACACUUGGGCUCACAGGUGACAGGAAUGAAGGAGUCCACAUUUCAGAGUCAGCACCUGUGGAGCUAAGAAAUGGCCAUCUCUUGAGGCUACAAAUGAUUUGAGUCCUGAUAGGACACAAUUGGAGUGGAGUCUUUGACUCACCUCUUUAAAAGUCCACUUUUCCCCCUGACAGACUCACAGGCUCUGGGACAAGAGUCCCCAGUAUUUCGCCUUUGGUAGCAAAGCAUGAAAACUUCUUUCCCCUUUUCUCAGACCCUUGCCUUUGUUAUUGGAUGAGCAUCAUGUAAAAGGAUCAAGCUUUCAGUAUCAAAUUUGGCCACCCAAAUGGGAUCCGAGAGUGUCACUGCUCUGAACUUCUUGGGUAGUUCUGGCACUCUGAGCAAGGCGGAUUAGGAGCUUGUUGAGACUUGACUGCUGAAGAAUUAGGAGGCAGAAUGAGUUUGCCUUGGGUCAAAGUAGGGAGCUAAGGGAGGGACUGAGGGAACAUCCCAACAGCUGCUGGGACUCUUUUUCCUUCAGGAAACUCCUGCCUUUUCUUCCUAACUGUACAGGUUAAUCCACCAAUUGGUCUUUUUCCCCCCCUUUAUUUUAGAGAGAGAGAAAGAGAGACAGAGACACAGAGAGAAUUUUUUUAAUAUUUCUUUUUAGUUUUCGGCAGACACAAUAUUUUUAUUUGUAUGUGGUGCUGAGGAUCGAACCCAGCGUCGUGCGCAUGCCAGGCAAGCACGCUACUGCUUGAGCCACAUCCCCAGCCCGAUUGGUCUUCUUUUUAAUAUUUAUUUUUUAGUUAUAGAUGGACACAAUAUUUUUUUUUAUUUUUAUGUGGUGCUGAGGAUCGAACCUAGUGCCUCAUGCAUGCUAGGCAAGCACUCUACCCCUGAGCCACAACCUUAGCCCCAACUGGUCUACUUUGAUAAAGAACUCUAAAUGGAGCAAAUUCAUGACAUCUUGGUAAUCAGGUAAACUUCCCUGGUGUGCCCACCAAGACCUUUGAUUCCACACUUCUGGUUCCCCUUCAUGGGAAUAUCUGGUUCCUCUUUAUGGGGACAUGUGUGGUGACAUUGUUGAUGGACUUAACUCUCACCAAUGAUUCAGUGGGAUGGGGAACCUAAGGGAUAUUUUCUCCCUGUCUGGUUUGUCUGUUUUAAAGGUUCCCAUCCAUCACCCUGGAUUGGGGGAAUCCCUCUGGUUGUUUGCCUCUGUUUUUUAUUUGUAUUUGUUACUGGCCUAUUAAGACACAAACAAUGCUGUGUCUCUUGGGAAAGAUCUUAGCUAAAUGGGCCACAGGUAGGUUUAAUAAUAUCUUAUUAUUGAUUUAUUCAAUAGGAUAGUAAUGGGCUCUAAUGAAGGUUUUUUAAAUGUAAAAUUCACUCCAUGAGAUAAACCUAUAGAAACAUUCCAGGCAACUCCUUUGUCUUGAUGUGAUGGAACUAGGGAGGCUGGACAUAUCUGAGUGAAGUCUACAGAGUCAAGGGCUAACCAAUAAUCUUAACACUUUUCCAAUACCCAGUUAGUAUAGAUUUUAGCCUAAGGUUGGUACUUUUCCAAUAGCUUGAUUAUCAUAGAUAUUGACCAAUGCCCCAUACCCAGUAGCUAUAUAAGCUAUAUAAGAUUAGUACUCUGAAGUAGCAACCCCUGUCAGUUUAUAACUCUUGCCCUGAAGGAGUUCUGUAUUUUCCUCUAAUUUGAAUAAAUCCUAUAUUCACUCA